rnacentral:rRNA from 1 species
GAUGAACGCUGGCGGCGUGCCUAAUACAUGCAAGUCGAGCGAACAGACGAGGAGCUUGCUCCUCUGACGUUAGCGGCGGACGGGUGAGUAACACGUGGAUAACCUACCUAUAAGACUGGGAUAACUUCGGGAAACCGGAGCUAAUACCGGAUAAUAUAUUGAACCGCAUGGUUCAAUAGUGAAAGACGGUUUUGCUGUCACUUAUAGAUGGAUCCGCGCCGCAUUAGCUAGUUGGUAAGGUAACGGCUUACCAAGGCAACGAUGCGUAGCCGACCUGAGAGGGUGAUCGGCCACACUGGAACUGAGACACGGUCCAGACUCCUACGGGAGGCAGCAGUAGGGAAUCUUCCGCAAUGGGCGAAAGCCUGACGGAGCAACGCCGCGUGAGUGGUGAAGGUCUUCGGAUCGUAAAACUCUGUUAUUAGGGAAGAACAAAUGUGUAAGUAACUAUGCACGUCUUGACGGUACCUAAGCAGAAAGCCACGGCUAACUACGU